AUGGUGAGUUUACUUGUUGCUGUCUUUAUUUUCUGGCGCUGCCCACGAUGCCACGGUCGUAUGGAUGGCGGAGAUGUCGGAGCAAUGUGUGCAUCACGCAGGAGGGCCCACCAAACUGCACCGACAGCUGACACCCCAAAUUCCCAGACAAGAAUAAAGAGCAGAGCAGACUGGCAUCCCGGGAUGCUUAUAGGGACAUGCUUGGAGGUGGAGAAGAUGGGAAGACUGGUACACCUGGUCUUGGGAACUGUUGUUGACAUCAAAUUGCCUCUACAGGUCAAGAUUCUCACCAGGCAGAUGAGUUCAGUGCAUCCCGGGGAGCAGCUUGGCACCACUGAAUGA
rnacentral:lncRNA from 1 species